AGUGAACGCUGGCGGUAGGCCUAACACAUGCGAGUCGAACGGCAGCACAGUAAGAGCUUGCUCUUACGGGUGGCGAGUGGCGGACGGGUGAGGAAUACAUCGGAAUCUACUUUUUCGUGGGGGAUAACGUAGGGAAACUUACGCUAAUACCGCAUACGACCUACGGGUGAAAGCAGGGGAUCUUCGGACCUUGCGCGAUUGAAUGAGCCGAUGUCGGAUUAGCUAGUUGGCGGGGUAAAGGCCCACCAAGGCGACGAUCCGUAGCUGGUCUGAGAGGAUGAUCAGCCACACUGGAACUGAGACACGGUCCAGACUCCUACGGGAGGCAGCAGUGGGGAAUAUUGGACAAUGGGCGCAAGCCUGAUCCAGCCAUACCGCGUGGGUGAAGAAGGCCCUCGGGUUGUAAAGCCCUUUUGUUGGGAAAGAAAAGCAGCAGGUUAAUACCCCGCUGUUCUGACGGUACCCAAAGAAUAAGCACCGGCUAACUUCGUG
rnacentral:rRNA from 1 species